rnacentral:rRNA from 1 species
GACGAACGCUGGCGGCGUGCUUAACACAUGCAAGUCGAACGGAAAGGCCCUGCUUUUGUGGGGUGCUCGAGUGGCGAACGGGUGAGUAACACGUGAGUAACCUGCCCUUGACUUUGGGAUAACUUCAGGAAACUGGGGCUAAUACCGGAUAGGAGCUCCUGCUGCAUGGUGGGGGUUGGAAAGUUUCGGCGGUUGGGGCUGGACUCGCGGCUUAUCAGCUUGUUGGUGGGGUAGUGGCUUACCAAGGCUUUGACGGGUAGCCGGCCUGGGAGGGUGACCGGCCACAUUGGGACUGCGAUACGGCCCAGACUCCUACGGGAGGCAGCAGUGGGGAAUAUUGCACAAUGGGCGGACGCCUGAUGCAGCAACGCCGCGUGCGGGAUGACGGCCUUCGGGUUGUAAACCGCUUUCGCCUGUGACGAAGCGUGAGUGACGGUAAUGGGUAAAGAAGCACCGGCUAACUACGUG